UAAACUUAAGGAGAUGAAGCUCUCCGCGGUGUAUGCCGGAACCACAUGUUUUUCAUGUUAAUAGCUUCUGCAGCGUU
rnacentral:ncRNA from 2 species